AGCGGGGUCAGGCUGCCUGUAACACUGAUAGAGCAGCUCCGCAUAGGGCUGCUCAGUUACAGGCAGCCUGCAUGCUGUGUUCAGCUCACGGCAGAGGCUCUGCUCCUGGAGCCUCUGUCGAUUUUUUUUUUCCAGCAGCACUUUCGGACAGGCACAGUGAGAGACAGCCUGGAGGGUCUUUGAUAAGGCCCCUCGGCUGUCUCUCAGUGUGCUACAAGCUCUCUGCUGCGUGUGACCAAGGGGGUAAGUAUUUAAUAACAG